UAAGCGCUCCCUAAUAGCCGCCAAAUGGCGA
rnacentral:sRNA from 1 species